rnacentral:lncRNA from 1 species
UUUUUUAAAAAAAAAUUAUUAUUAUUUUGAUAAAAUUUGUAGCCUUGUACAUUUCCAUAUUCUGCCAUACAGGUAUACAGCAACUGUUAUGCUCUAGGGGAUCGUGAUAACAAACAAACAACAUUCUAAAAUUUUCAUAAUACAAGUUCUCCUAGUUAUUUGAUACUUCUGCCGUUCGCAUUUUAGGCGUCGCAUCCUGUUCUUGAAACGGAAUGAAGAGGUAGGUUUACACAAAAAAUAUAUAUCAAACUUAAAACAAGCAUCC